rnacentral:rRNA from 1 species
CAAUAGCGUAUAUUAAAGUUGUUGCAGUUAAAAAGCUCGUAGUUGGAUUUCUGAAUUGAAUAUCCGGUCCGCUCGUCUCUGAUGAGUGCGUACUUAUGGGUAUUGGAUUCAUUUUUUGUGAGGACAUUUAUCUGUCAUUAAGUUGAUGGAUUUAUAGACUUGCAUCGUUUACUGUGAAAAAAUUAGAGUGUUUAAAGCAGGCGUUCGCCCAUUUGAAUACAUUAGCAUGGAAUAAUAAGAUAUGACUUUGGUGGUCUAUUUUGUUGGUUUGCACACCAGAGUAAUGAUUAAUAGGGACAGUUGGGGGUAUUCAUAUUUCAACGUCAGAGGUGAAAUUCUUAGAUCGUUGAAAGAUGACCUUAGGCGAAAGCAUUUACCAUGGAUGUUUUCAUUA